rnacentral:misc_RNA from 1 species
CUGGAGAUACAUAAAGUUACAUAGCCAUAGUUACAUAGAGUUAUGUGUAGAAUUACGUUGGGUUACAUAGUCAUAUUUACAUUAAGUUACAUAGAGUUCCACUGACUUACGUAAAGUCACAUUUAGAAAUCGGGGUACCCUGUUUCCCCCACGUUCCGUCACACACAAAUUUCUGUGAGAUCUAGUCAAUUUGAGACGGUUGUGAUUCAUUUUUUUUUAACAUUCCAAACUUUCAUCAGUGAGCACAAAUGACAUUCAUUGGUUUACAGGCACAUAGCACCAUUUCUGUCCAGGGGUAAAGAAGGUGGAUUGUCGGGAACAUCUUGACAAGCAAGCAUUAAAUCACACGUGGCCAACCUUCAAAUUCUUAAUAGACAGUAGGAGGGGAUAUAAAGAUUUAAAGGAUUAUUCCAUAUUUGAAAAAAGAGGGUCCAGCCCCUGUUUUGGCUACGUGCCUGUUUUACUUAGUAAGUUUACACUUGGUGCAAUAGAGACCCCAGCACUGUGUAGUCUGAGGUUUCAUCGGUCAGCAUAUUAAGUGUUUUAUGAAUGGGUCACCAUUAUUUAGAACAAUCUUGUUUUGUAGAUUUUCUGUGAGAGAAAGAUAUGUUAGUGUACUUUACUUGUCUUGAUGUUGAAAUCUGUGAUAUAAAUGAAAUAAAAACAAAGUAACAAC